AACGUAGGAGGCGAGCGUUAUCCGGAUUUACUGGGCGUAAAGCGUAUGUAGGUGGCACGACACGUCGGCUGUGAAAGCGCCUGGCUCAACUGGGCGAGGGCGGCGGAUACGGUCGAGCUAGAGGGUGAUAGAGGAGCGUAGAAUUCCGGGUGUAGUGGUGAAAUGCGUAGAGAUCCGGAGGAAUACCAGUGGCGCAGGCGGCGCUCUGGGUCACACCUGACACUGAGAUACGAAGGCAUGGGGAGCGAACGGG
rnacentral:rRNA from 1 species